rnacentral:rRNA from 1 species
GUACACUCCUGCGGGAGGCAGCAGUGGGGAAUUUUGGACAAUGGGCGAAAGCCUGAUCCAGCCAUGCCGCGUGCAGGAUGAAGGCCUUCGGGUUGUAAACUGCUUUUGUACGGAACGAAACGGCCUUUUCUAAUAAAGAGGGCUAAUGACGGUACCGUAAGAAUAAGCACCGGCUAACUACGUGCCAGCAGCCGCGGUAAUACGUAGGGUGCAAGCGUUAAUCGGAAUUACUGGGCGUAAAGCGUGCGCAGGCGGUUAUGUAAGACAGUUGUGAAAUCCCCGGGCUCAACCUGGGAACUGCAUCUGUGACUGCAUAGCUAGAGUACGGUAGAGGGGGAUGGAAUUCCGCGUGUAGCAGUGAAAUGCGUAGAUAUGCGGAGGAACACCGAUGGCGAAGGCAAUCCCCUGGACCUGUACUGACGCUCAUGCACGAAAGCGUGGGGAGCAAACAGGAUUAGAAACCCCAGUAGUCCCAUG